GCAGUCGAGCGGAACGAUGUAGCUUGCUACAGGCGUCGAGCGGCGGACGGGUGAGUAACGCGUAGGAACCUACCUAGUAGUUUGGGAUAGCCCAGAGAAAUUUGGAUUAAUACCGAAUACGCCCCACGGGGGAAAGCGGAGGAUCUUCGGACUUCGCGCUAUUAGAUGGGCCUGCGUAAGAUUAGCUUGUUGGUGAGGUAAUGGCUCACCAAGGCAACGAUCUUUAGCUGGUUUGAGAGGAUGAUCAGCCACACUGGGACUGAGACACGGCCCAGACUCCUACGGGAGGCAGCAGUGGGGAAUAUUGCACAAUGGGCGAAAGCCUGAUGCAGCCAUACCGCGUGUGUGAAGAAGGCCUUCGGGUUGUAAAGCACUUUCAGUUGUGAGGAAAGGUUGGUAGUUAAUAGCUGCUAGCUGUGACGUUAACAACAGAAGAGGCACCGGCUAACUUCGUGCCAGCAGCCGCGGUAAUACGAGGGGUGCAAGCGUUAAUCGGAAUUACUGGGCGUAAAGCGCGCGUA
rnacentral:rRNA from 1 species